rnacentral:rRNA from 1 species
UACGGAGGAUCCGAGCGUUAUCCGGAUUUAUUGGGUUUAAAGGGUGCUCAGGCGGGCCAUUAAGUCGGCGGUGAAAUUUUGCGGCUCAACCGUAAAAGUGCCUUCGAAACUGGUGGCCUUGAGUGUGGAUGAGGUAGGCGGAAUUUGUGGUGUAGCGGUGAAAUGCAUAGAUAUCACGAGGAACUCCGAUUGCGCAGGCAGCUUACUAAGCCAUAACUGACGCUCAAGCACGAAGGCGUGGGGAUCAAACAGG